rnacentral:lncRNA from 1 species
AAAAAAAUCAACAAGUCUUUCGAAAAGAAUCAUAACCUCCGAAUAACUUCAUAUCGAAAGAUGGGAAUUCCAGCUUUUUUUUUAAAUUAAAAGCUUAUAAUAUAGUAAUCUUUACAAUAGGAUACUUUUUUAACACACCUUUUUCUUCCACUAAUAACUAGAACUAGAAGUACUUAGGUAGCAGUAGCACACCUUUUUCUUCCACUAAUAACUAGAACUAGAAGUACUUAGGUAGCAGUAGCGUCCUAAGACCACAACUACUGAACAAACAAACAAAUUAAAAGAAAACAUGAACUUUUUACUACAUUACCAUCUCAAAAAACACUUUGUACUACGUAGUAUAUAACUCUAAGACCACACCUACAAAACUAACAAUAACAAGACACCGUGAACUUUGCACUCCUAAAAACCGAAACCAAGUAAUCUCUUUUCAU